rnacentral:rRNA from 1 species
CCUACGGGUGGCAGCAGUGGGGAAUUUUGGACAAUGGGCGCAAGCCUGAUCCAGCUAUUCCGCGUGUGGGAUGAAGGCCCUCGGGUUGUAAACCACUUUUGUAGAGAACGAAAAGACACCUUUUAAUAAAGGGUGUUGCUGACGGUACUUUAAGAAUAAGCACCGGCUAACUACGUGCCAGCAGCCGCGGUAAUACGUAGGGUGCGAGCGUUAAUCGGAAUUACUGGGUUUAAAGGGAGCGUAGGCCGCAUGUCAAGCGUGCUGUGAAAUGUCCGGGCUCAACCCGGGCCUUGCAGCGCGAACUGGCGUGCUUGAGUCCGCGGAAAGCAGGCGGAAGUCGUCGUGUAGCGGUGAAAUGCUUAGAUAUGACGAAGAACCCCGAUUGCGAAGGCAGCUUGCUGCAGCGGAACUGACGCUGAUGCUCGAAAGCGCGGGUAUCGAACAGGAUUAGAUACCCCAGUAGUC